CGCUUUGGAGUGGCGGCAAGGGAGCAAGCGCUGCUCAUGAAGAGGACGUGCGAAUGAUAUACGAAAUUUCUGCUUUGGGAAAACGGAAGCGGAUACGCCACUAGAGUGAGUGACUGUGUUUGAGCGCUUCCUCUGCAUAAUAUACUGUGAGUGUGAUUAUAGACAUCUGAGCCGCCCACAUUUUGAUCGGCGGCUGGCUUUCCGGCUCCAAGCCGUCAAUACAGACAUCGGCGGCUGGCUAGCAAAAUUCCGUCGGCGCGGCUGGCGGCUGGCUUAGAGCCGGCUCACGUGCUUUUUAAGACUGCAUAACUCAAAAUUCGCAACUCAAAACUUAAUUGUAACACGUUGUAACUACAGAGAUUCCAAAAUUCCGUAUUUUCCCGGGAAAACACUGCAUUGCAACAAAUACUCUAUUUGUGCGGUUUUUGGGCAUUGCAACCCUGGAGACGAGUCCAAUUAUGGGAAGUUUAUGCAAUUCUGAUGGUUAAAAAGAACUCAAAAUUUGGGGUUGCAAAGAUAAUGAAAUUUGAAAAAUUGCAACCCUAAUUUUUACGUUUUUUUUAAGUGGAAAAAAUUAUCACCAAGAAAUAAUUUGCAUAGAUCGCCUUAGUCAUUGGACAUCUUUUGAACAAUUUUUCUAAAUUUCAAAAUCGUAUAUAAAAAACGAUUUGUUUUAAAUAAACGUAAAAAAUUCAUAUUUCGAAAAAAAAACAUUAAAUUUAUGAAUUUCCGGAAAAAAACAGACAACUGCACAACCUAAUGGGGGUUUCUCAGGGUCGCAAAAACUGCAAUUUUCCAUAAAAACAAACAGCAGUGCAAACAACUUUUAUUAUAGUGUUUUUCCGAAUUUUUGAGCAUUUUGUUUUUAUUUGAAUAUUUUUUAAGGAUAUUUAAGUUUGUAGAUGUGUAUCUUUUUCCGUUUGGUAUAUAUAAAUGUAAUUUAAUAAAUUAGAAAUUAUGUGUCAACAGAUAUAUAAAUAAAAAAACUUUAGAUUAUGUCAAAAGGGAAAGGUUGAAAAAAUUACCAUUCAAAAUUUUAAGCUUUGGAUUUUUGCAUUAAUUUUGCACUUAAUUUAAAAUAUUAUUUGUUCUUAUUUCAAAUAAGGGACAAGGUGGUAAUUAAGAAGGAGAUUUGGAUAAUUUAAAGUAUUUUUAAGCCCAAAGGAAGCAUCCUAAAAUAUUUUUUAUCGGAAUUGUAGCAAUGGGGUUGAAAGGGGAUGAGGGUAAGCACCCCCAAAUACUUUUGCUGGUUAGUGGAUGUCGAGACGAGCCGAACGGUGGGUAUUUUUUUGCAAUUCUGAUGGUUAAAACCCGAGAUUUAGAGUUGCAAAGAACCUGAUGAAUCGAAUGUAUGGUACUUUUUUUUGAAAAUUUGGAAGAAUUUCUCAAAACCAAAAAGAACACAACGCUGAAAUUUUCAGUCUGGGUGUUUGUGUAGCGUGAUGGCGGAGCGCACAACGAGACGAGCUAUUUUAAGGAAUUGAGCUAAUCAAGUGUCGGCGGGCGGCCAGUCCGGCCCGGCGGCCCACUUGGGCCGCGGCCCACGGGCAUUGCCCGAUUCGCCCGAUGGGCUAUCCGGGCCUUAAUAAGUUGCGUUUUAUGGUACAAAAUAGACGUCAAAAGUAAGGUUUAUGAAGAUUUUUUUAAUGCAUCUGUGUUUUUCCUUUCAAAUGAUCAAAUUUUAAAUUUAUUAUAAGAAUAGGAGCAAUGAAAUUUUCAGAUAAAAGAAGUGAAUUAAGUGGGAAAUCGUUUUUCAUAAGUCACGGGGUUCGUCAAUUUCGUUAUGUACAAAAAAUCAGCUGGCAAUACCAACAGUUUUGGGGUUUGCCGCCUUUUUUCCAAAUUUAACCCCAAAAAAGCCAUAUUUCGCGCCGUAAAAAGCUGAAAUUUUGGAAAGUUAUGAUGAUUAAAGAAUUAAAUGUUUAGUCUAUUGGUCAAACCAUCAGUGGAUUUUAUGCUGAUUUUGUAAAAAUUCCUAUUUUCGGUUAUCCAUCAUGAGAAUUUUUUAUCUCCCAUAAAAAAGUGCGAAAUUGCAUAAAAAUCUGUUUUUUGCGGGGUUUUCUGUGAUUUGUACUGUGGUAACCUUUCUCUCUGUAACACCACGAAAAAUGUUAUGCCUGGCUGUUCCCUGUAACUUACGGUCCACGCAGAGCCGGGAGGGCUGUCCGACGUGCCGAGCAGACCUGCGCCGCCGCCGCCGCCGCGCCGAUACUUCUCUCUAUCUGCUGCUGGGCCAAGCCGUUCUCAAAAGCCUCUCCUCAAUAUUACUAAUUCGCUUAUUAUUAUAUUUGCUCUCUGUAAUUAUUCUACCAACAAUAAAAUUGCUCUCCUUAAACUGUGAUCCACUGAACUAUAUUAUUUAACUCGGCUGAUUAAUAGUGCCAACAAUCGGUCAUAAUUAUUACCAACUCGGCUGCUCAGGCGCGGCAACGAGUUGGAAUAAUUACGAGACUUUAGAAAUAUUAAUUGCCUCACUGCUUGUGAGCAGUCCGAAAUCCUUAGAAUAAAAUAUCUGCGUCUUGCUGGCCUGGCAAGAGCGCGCGACUGAAUAUUCUCAGCAACUUCUAAACUCAAAUAAAUAGUCCAGUUUCUCCAAAUAUUAGCAAACUGAUUGAUAAAUUAAUCUCCUUUAUAUAAAUUACGUUAUUAUCUUUGAAUUCUCUGUAUUUUAUCAAAUGGAAAAGUAGAAAUUAUACACCGCCAUUUAACUGCUGUCUAACAAUGAUUUAUGAUGUGGUUUUAUUGGAACGUAAGUGACUCUAACAAUUAUAAAUGGCUUUCAAUGGUUUUCAGUGAUGCAUUUUUACGCACUGCAAAAUUGGCGAACCCAUUAACAUUGACUUUUAUACUGAUUUUGUAAAAUUCCUAUUAUUGGUCAUCAAACAUGAAACAUGAUAAUUUUUUAUAUUCCAUAAAAAUGCGCAAAAUAUUGCAGAAAAUCUCGCAAAAAAUAGUUUUUUUGUUAUGCAGUAGGCUUUCCGGAAAAAAAUGCAGGUCUUUGCGAAGCAAUAUACUUUAUGGUAGCGGAAGGUUUGCACAACUUUCAACAACCGAACGCGAAUUUGCUUGUUGCAAGAAAAGGGCAACAAUCAAUUAGCGACAAAUAAAAUUUGGGUGUUUGUUGAGUGUCGUGAAAGGUGGCGCCGGGAGACGCUGAUCCGCAUGUCGGCGCCCUCUGGCCCCGCGCUUAUAGCGGUUCUAAUUUACGCUUAAGCCUUAACAUUGCUAAUUUUCCAUGUCCACCUGCGGAUCAGCAGCCGGCGGCGCCACCGCCACCCUCACAUUAAGCGAUGCGCAAUUUUACCGCGACCAUGCAGGACGAGGAAAAUUUCACUGUCUCCGCCGACCUGUUUUUAAAAGAAAGCACUCCUGCGAGGUUAACAAUUUACAUAAAAUUGUUAUUUACCGACAAAUAAUAGCUAAUAUUUAAAGUUAAGUAAAACUUUAAAAAUUUACGAAUUUUUUAAGGUUUUCAGGGGGGGGGACAGGACUAAACAGGGACAAGGUUAAGAACGAACAGGGACGAACCCGAGAGAAAAAAAUGGGACAGGCACGGGACCAAAAACCCAUCCCGGUUCCUCUCUCUAGGACCGGCUGAGUCGGCUGGCUCAGAUGUCUAACUGUGAUUGCUGAUUUUAAGCAAGAGCUGAUGAUAAUAAUUAAUUUAGUUAAAAUUUAUUGUUAGGAAGUCGAUAGGUCAACUUUUAAUUAAAAUAUCAAAUAUAUAUCAAGUUUUUAGACAUUUAUUUUGCGCCAGUUUUAGAGCCCUCUAUAUAAAACGCCGUAAAUCCUUUUAAAAUUUGCUUCACUUGACUGGUAAGUAUAGAGGUCUGAGCGAACGCUCCGAGUAUCGCCGCCUUUUUUGUUCAAAUUUUGAACCACACGCAGUCGCCAGUUUUUGGCUGCCUGCCGGGUACUAUUUUAUAAACUGCGACUUCCAUCGCAAAAAUUGCCGCUGGUUUCCAUGGAUACCGUUUGCGUCACAUACUCACGGGACCGGGUACGACAUACUAUGUGACUAAAUUCGUGGUUGAAACCUAUAAAUAGUGAUCACUCUGAGUGAUAUCCGCAUAAUUAUCUAAAUUUUUUAUCGCAUGUUAUUUUCAAGAUAUCACCCUAAAAUCAACUCUAAAAAAAGAUGAUUUAAGACUUUCUGCCACACAGCGACACCAGAAAAUGUGAUUAAAAGCGUGCUCGCCGCCGCCGUCCUCUUACUUUACAGCUCGCAUGCCACAGGAGCUAAAAAUAAAAUUCCGCUCGUGUUGAUGAGUCAGUGAGUCAUCAAAUCCUUCGCUGUCCCUCAGAAUAAUUAAUACUAAUUCCUUCGACAGUUAGACGGCCAAUGAGAGUUAUAUCCUGGUUUGAGCCAUGAUUCGAUUUUUUAAAUUACCCGCCCCCGGUAGACUAAACCCGCACCCGGCCAAACCAAAAAUUUCCUGGUACCGCCGGGUUUACCCGAGUAUUUUGCGUGGCGGAGGUUCAGAAAGGGGAUCUUAAAGCUAUUUUGGCUGCCAAGGACCUACUUUGUGAGGGGUGUUUUUACAUUGCGCCGGUCGGGGUAUUUUGUGGUGUCCGAAAAUACUCGGGUAAACCCGGCGGUACCAGGAAAUUUUUGGUUUGGCCGGGUUCCGUGUUAGUCUACCGGGGGCGGGUAAUUUAAAAAAUCGAAUCAUGGCUCAAACCAGGAAAUAACUCUCAUUCUCGUCCUCUUACGCUCUCAGAAAAUAAAUUCCAAUGCAUUGCAAUUGCACAUUCUUCAAUCAGAGACCGAGGGCCCUGAAUAUCGGGUCGAGGCAAUGCAAUCAGAUGAAUUGAAAAAAUCGGGUUCGAGCGGGUCUGGGUUGCGUUACUAUAAUUAUGGUCUUGAAAGGGUAGAAAAAAUAGACCACUAGCUAGCGCAUGUUUACGUUUUGGUAUUAAUAGCGUCAGACGUCAGCCAUGCGCCAUCUGGUUUUAGUAUUUACAUAGUUUGUAUACAAUUCGAUUGAUCUCAAUAUGGAACAUGCAAAAAGGGCGUAUAUACAAUAGUCUCCUCUGCUCUCUGCUGCAUAACGAAGUAUUCCAGGAGGGGCUGUAUUUGUCGGAUCACUGAUGAAGAAACGAUUUGUUUUUAAAGGCGACAUCAUUUACUCAAAAAGUUGAGGAAUCACCGAGAAAAAAAGAGAAUUAUUUAUCUUGAAACCAGAUAUUUGCAGGCCGAAACGCAGAGGAAGCAGGAUGUGUGCUUGGUUUGAAUUCAUGUGAUAAUGUGGUGGUUUGCGACUUCCUUUUAUAUAGCAGUUGCGGUUAUGAAUAAUGAAUAAUUCCAACUGAAAUAUGUUUUACAAUCUCCCCUGCAUACAAAAUAAUUCAUGACAUAUCAACUUCAAAAUAAUGCUAAUUACGUUAGAAUGUAUUGUUUAAGGGGAAUAGCCAAUGUAUUAAUUUAGAGUAGCAUUUCAUUCUAGGAAAAUAUGACAACCCAACACCCACUUUCUAUGAUACAAAAGUUGUUUGCAAAAUUUGUCAUGAAAAAAAUUAUCUUCUCUAUGAUAUUGACAUUUUUUUCCGACUUUCAGAUUGAUUUCUUCAUAAAAAUGGUACAUAGAGCACUCCACGAAAUCCUGACUGUUCUCCUACUUAUCACCGCCUUUUCGUGGUCAAAUUGUGCUUCCGUUGAGUUUGAAAACAAGACCGAGGACAACUGGCAACUGCUGAUCGGCGCCAAUUCAAAGGAACUGAAAUACGACUUUUGCAAAUAUAACGCGACAAGCAGCGGAACACAGUGCACAAGUUUUCCAAAGAUCGCUUCAAUAGACAUUAGGGUGGUGUGCAAUUGCUCCGUCCAACACAACAAAACCAAAGCUGGCUCCUUCACUUUCAGCGUCAAAUGCCUCAGUAAUUCAAGUUGGUGCCCCAAGGAUCUGCUCAUUCAAUACCAGCAAGGCCCCUUCGAAAAGCCAUCACACGCUGAAGAAAUAUCAGCAACCAGAGAACACCUGAUUAACUCUUCGAUUUUGAUAACUCUUCUCAUUUUUGUUGUCUUUUGUUUCAUUUUAGGAAAAAGAUUUUUUAUUGCACGUGCACGCAGCAGUGGCGAAACGUCAACAAGUCUUCAAAUGACACAGUUUAAUGGGCUCAAGAGUCUACAAACCAUUUUUAUAAAUCGUCUGUGUUCGAAGCCGCCAACAGAUGGCGCCACCGUAUAUUAAUAUUAAGUGAAGAAUGCGCAGUGGCAGAAUUUAGUCUGAAAUCGUAGCGGAAGUGCCUUAAAAUUAAAUUUAUUAGGAAAGGUGUCACCAUCUGUUGGCGGCUUCGAACACUAAUUGCUAGGGAUGUGCAAAAAUAGUCGAUUUUUUUUGCUCUUUUUAUCCCUGUCCGAGGACCGGAGGACCGGGAAGGGCGUGCGCUGCACUAGCACGAAUGCUGAAACCCUGGUCCCAAUAACACCUCGAACGGAUUGAAUGGGCGCACAAGGCCGCACAGGGACCCAGCCCACUCAAGGGCCACUUGCCUCCGCACCGAGGACUGUAUUGAAACGCUAGACAUUUUGUCCCGUGAAGCCAAAUCACGCAUGCUGGAAAGGUGCAAACCAGCAAGUAGCGAGUCGGCGCCGGUGCGCCUACCAGCCCGUUGAGCAAUUUGAGCAAUUCGAGUCACUAAACUAACCACUUUUUGCCAUUUCUGACAUUGGGUAGCCAGUAUUAGAUCUCCCAACUGCUCAAAUACCUCCCAUUGCUCCUGAGAAUUCCUUAACAAUGCGAGCCAACGGGUUGGUUUGGCAGAGAAAUAAUCGAUUAUUAUAGUCGGAAAUUCAGAGGCCAAUAAUCGGUUUUAUAAACGGUUUCUAGUCAAAUAAUCGGUCGCAGGGUGCUGCAACUGUGACCCGCGGCAACUGUGCCCUAAGUUAAAAUGGUGGGAAGAGGAGGAGUGUGGCAUCAGGGUUUCGUCUUUAGGGAGGGUCUUUCGAGGGUGGUUGUGGCCUAAAUAUAAUGCUACUUUAAAUAAAUAAAUUUGCUUACAAUAUCGUUGAUUUCCUGCUUAAUUCGCAUCGUAUAUAUUUAAAAUGUGUGUUGAUAUCAAGAUAAUAACAAGCGGCAAUCGAGUCUGCUCUUAGUUAAUUAAAUUCUGAAAAAUUUACUUUGGGCACGAUUGCCGCGAGUCACAAGUUGCCGUUCACUCGCUUCAACUGUGACACAGAGACGAGCUUGCAACGCAGCACCCUCCGAGGGUGUUUAGCUCGUGCACAUAUUUAGGCUGUGCAUCAAAAGGGGACGCGCUGCUUCACAAUUGAAAGAGUCGCUCGCAGGUCAAACUUUUCCUUUGCAGCCGAUCGCUUUUGUGUGCUUUGACAAUAAUGCAUUGACUGGGGUUGCUGGGGUUGCGUGAAAAAUCACGAAAGAACCGUUCUUGGAUUCUCAUCCACAAAAAUCGAAUAUCAAGAGCGUGGGAAAAUUUGUGCCGUACACCAGUAUUUUAAAUUAAAAUCGUUUUUAUAAAGUAAGCUAUCAAACGAAACGAUAAUUGAGUAUACAUUUAUUUAUAUUUGUAAAACGCAGUGGAAUGGCGACAUCUGAACCGUAAAAAUAGCAGAAAGGCACUGAUAUUCUUGCGUUCGAAGUUUAAAUAAAAAAUAAAAAAUGGAAAUAUUUAGAUCAAAAUUUUCUUUUGACAUUGGUAAUUUCCAGAUCAAUGAAGGCAAUCUAUUUUUACUAGUUACACAACUGUCAUAUUUUUAGUUGAUUAAAUAUUUUAAAUAUUGUAAAAUUGGUGUUUUUAAUUAAUAUCUCGGUUAAUAAUAAGUUUAGCGCAAAAUUGUUCAUGACCAAUUAAUUUUUAAAGUAAGAAUUGAAAUAUAUUUUUGCAAGACCAAAGCGUUUGUGCCAAUUAGAACCGAAAAUAAAAUAGAUCGAUCUGGCGCAAAAUAAAAUCCGGCCGCGCACUCUUGAAUGAAUCGACGCGGGCUUGUACGAGAAGACCAAAGUCGGUAUAAAAUUUCAUUUUUUCUCAUUAUUUCGCUCCCUCGUACAGUUAAAGCAAUGAUUAUUUUACACAAGAUAAAAAUCACAAUUCUAUUUACAAAAGUUCAUUACGAGUUUGCCGAAAAAAGCAACGAUCUAGACUUAAACUUCAAUUUUAUAAUUUACAGUAUGUGUAUUUAAUUAGUCGUUUUUGUUGAUGCAAUAGCUAAUGCAAAAUACUGCACGCAGCUCAAAAAUUCUGGAAGUUUGUUCAACCGUUGAUUUUCCCCCUCAGUUGUUGGUUGAAUUUAAAUGAAUUUAAAAUGUACUAAAAACGUUACAAAGACGUGCAGCUUUUGGACUUUAUAAUUUUGCAACGAAUAGACGGAUUGACACCAUUGAGGUCAGUUUAUGUACGAUUUCACGAGUAGUUUGGACUUAAUGUAUUUUAAAGCCCUCAAGAGGUCAAGGUCAGCCGCUGCCCUCUUGGCAUAAUCAACGCUCUGGAUCUAAAUUACCACCUAGUUAAAGACAAUUUUUCGUUCUUUCCAAAAAUGUUCCUCUGGUCGAAAUCUUCGCGAGCUUAAUCGGAAAAAUAAUUAAUUAUAGACACGGACCCAUUGCAGCGGCUGAUGCGAGCGGUGUGUGUGCUCGCUUCUCGCAGCUGCUGCAUGGCUAUUGAGAUUGAGAAGCCGAGUGAUUCCAUUAUUUUCCAUUGCAAUAAGUGUGCGAUGUCCGGUCAAUCUUUUUCGCAGAUAGCAAUAACCAUAUUUUGCAAAAUAAGGACAUUGCCGCAUAUGCUAUUAUUUUAUUGCAAAGAUUUUUUUAUUUUGCCGUGCAGGCAUGUUUUCCAUAAAAAACAUUUAUAUCGAGUUAAUACUUCAGAGAGUAAAAAUAUAUAAUGGAAUUAUCUAGGCAUUGACCGUUUCACAUUCUUAAAUUUAUCGAAACAGCUAUAAAUAAAGAAAUUAUAACGUUGUUUAGUUCAUUGGCUUAAGAUUAAAUCAGACACGUAAUUAUUCGAAAAGAGAAUAAUUUAUUUUAAUUUUUUUAUUACUACCAGUGAUGAGUACAAAAUUAUUUUUUUGAUAGCGAGUGAACUAAACAACGUUAUAAAAUAAUUUCUCUAGUGCGUUAACCCCGAGCAAGGAGGAUGUCUGUUCACUUCUUGAUUUUUCACGCACCCCCAGCAUCGCACCAGUCAAUGCUUUAUUGUCAAACACACAGAAAAGCGGUCGGCUGCAAAGGAAAAGUUUGACCUGCGAGCGACUUUUUUAAUUGUGAAGCAGCGCGCCCCCUUUUGAUGCACAGCCUAAAUAUGUGCAAGGGCUGAACACCCUCGAUCGGAGGGUGCUGCGUUGCAAGCUCGUCUCUGUGUCACAGUUGAAGCGAGUGAACGGCAACUUGUGACUCGUGGCAAUUGUGCCCUAAGUAAAAUUUUCAGAAUUUAAUUAACUAAGAGCAGACUCGAUUGCCGCAUGUUAUUAUCUUGAUAUCAACACACAUUUUAAAUAUAUACGAUGCGAAUUAAGCAGGAAAUCAACGAUAUUGUAAGCAAAUUUAUUUUUAUUUAAAGUAGCAGUGCUUUUAGGCCACAACCACCCUCGAGAGACCCUUCCUAAAGACGAAACCCUGAUGCCACACUCCUUCUCUUCCCACCAUUUUAACUUAGGGCACAGUUGCCGCGGGUCACAGUUGCCUGUCACUCGUUUCCUGUUCCUAUAUAGGUGAUAAAUUAUAUAUUUUUCUAUCUAUACAUUUUUUGUUUUGGAAAAGCAAAAGAAGUUCGUUAAGGAUAUUAAAAUUUGUAACAUUUUGCCGAAAACAAUUUUAAAUUUUUAUAUCAAUAUUAGAUUCAAAAGUGAUUUUAUUGCCGAUCAGCAGAGCAACUAUGCUCCACACCUCCCCACAUUCAGAACACAGCAGAUAAAUAUACAAAACAUUUUUUUUUGUUUUUUUAUAACAGAGGGAAAUAAGAAAAUCAGUCAGCAGUAAGUUCAGUAUUUGGCAAGGAAAAUUUGCCUCACUUUUUGUUUGAAUGCACUAGAGUUCUGGUUCAUGCACAGAUUCGGUGACAGGCUAUUCCACAGACGAUAGCACACUACAUACUUGGAAGCACUUACAAAGGGGGCCAGAAGUCGCAUUCGAUGCGCCCGCGACCUGCCCAACAGAUCGACAUCAUGCAUGCAUUAUUAUAUUAUAUUAGCUCUUGUGGAAUGUUUUAAUCGUGUUUAAAGUAUUUUUAAACAGUUAAAAUUUAAUUAAAGUCGCAGUGAUAGGCCAAAAUACUUAAAAAAUAAUUGUUUGAGUGAAAAAGUUUAAGUAGAACUUACAAUUAACAGUCCGCUGAAGAUUAAAAAUAUUUUUGCAUUGUUGGUUUAGCAAGUUGUUCAUUUUGUUAGUUGUUUUUGGAAUUAAGCCACUUCUAGAAUGAGCAAUAAUGAAAUCAGGUCUCUGUCAAACAACUAAAGUUCAGAUAUUGCCCAACUGCUUGACAAAUUAUAGAGUUUGUCAAAGAGUUUUUCGCUUAAUUUUGAUCCCUUUCGUCACGAUCUGUCCAAUUAAUGGUAUGUGAUUUAUGAUCUAAAUCUCUCUUCUGGUGAAAUAAACUAUGAUUUCAAAUCAAUAUAUUGAUUAGACUGGCAAUAUGACUAACAUGCGAGCUUAAUAGCCGAUUUUCUCGCAAAUUUGGAAAAAUUUAAGCUUUUCUCUAACUUUGGGUAAAUUCAAAAAUAUUUUUUUGCUGUAGAGUUAUACUUUAAGUAACAACAACUUUCUGCAACUGGUUACCUCAUGCGAUCCUUACAAAUUAUUACAUUGGAAAUCAAUCAUUGCUCACGUACGCAUAACUGUUAAAAGAUAAAAAUGUUAAAAUUUGAGCUAUUAAAGCAAUAACUACUAGUUCGUGUGGUACAAGUUUUUAAUUCUCAAUUAAAAAGAUACUCGUACUAUACUAAGGGAUGCUACUCAAUGCAACGCAGACCAUUUGUGAGUGUUUAAUUUAUUAAUUUACGGCACGUGACAGCCAGGAGUUAAUUUUUUGUUUCGGGUGCAGAUCCUGUUUGUGAUUUUGGGUCAGUGUUAUUAAUCUUAUUUAGCAUUAAAGCCUUACGUACUUAAAAUGAGGAGUGAACUGUGAGAUUUAAUUGAUAGUUAUCAAUCAAAGCAGUGCCAAAAUGGAAACAUAACUGGAAAAUGAUUUUAUUCAAUUCUUAUAAUGCCAAAGUCAAUAUACAUAUUUUGUAAUGCUUUUCUUUAUCACCGAAUUUUGUUAAUAAAGUCAUUAAAAAUUUCA